rnacentral:rRNA from 1 species
UACGUAGGGGGCAAGCGUUGUCCGGAAUCAUUGGGCGUAAAGAGCGUGUAGGCGGCUAUUUAAGUCCUGCGUGAAAUCCUGCGGCUCAACCGCAGACGGUCGUGGGAAACUGGAUGGCUAGAGUGCGGGAGAGGAGAGUGGAAUUCCCGGUGUAGCGGUGAAAUGCGCAGAUAUCGGGAAGAACACCCGUGGCGAAGGCGGCUCUCUGGAACGCAACUGACGCUGAGACGCGAAAGCGUGGGGAGCAAACAGG